GAUGAACGCUAGCUACAGGCUUAACACAUCCAAGUCGAGGGGCAGCGGGAUUGAAGCUUGCUUCAAUUGCCGGCGACCGGCGCACGGGUGAGUAACGCGUAUCCAACCUUCCGUACACUCAGGGAUAGCCUUUCGAAAGAAAGAUUAAUACCUGAUGGUAUGAUGAGAUUGCAUGAUAACAUCAUUAAAGAUUCAUCGGUGUACGAUGGGGAUGCGUUCCAUUAGGUAGUAGGCGGGGUAACGGCCCACCUAGCCUACGAUGGAUAGGGGUUCUGAGAGGAAGGUCCCCCACAUUGGAACUGAGACACGGUCCAAACUCCUACGGGAGGCAGCAGUGAGGAAUAUUGGUCAAUGGACGAGAGUCUGAACCAGCCAAGUAGCGUGAAGGAUGAAGGUCCUACGGAUUGUAAACUUCUUUUAUAAGGGAAUAAAACCUCCCACGUGUGGGAGCUUGUAUGUACCUUAUGAAUAAGCAUCGGCUAACUCCGUGCCAGCCGCCGCGGUAAUAC
rnacentral:rRNA from 1 species